GUGGGGAAUCUUGCGCAAUGGGCGAAAGCCUGACGCAGCCAUGCCGCGUGAAUGAUGAAGGUCUUAGGAUUGUAAAAUUCUUUCACCGGGGACGAUAAUGACGGUACCUGGAGAAGAAGCUCCGGCUAACUUCGUGCCAGCAGCCGCGGUAAUACGAAGGGGGCUAGCGUUGCUCGGAAUUACUGGGCGUAAAGGGCGCGUAGGCGGACAGCUUAGUCAGAGGUGAAAGCCCAGGGCUCAACCUUGGAAUUGCCUUUGAUACUGGCUGUCUUGAGUUUGGGAGAGGUGAGUGGAACUCCGAGUGUAGAGGUGAAAUUCGUAGAUAUUCGGAAGAACACCAGUGGCGAAGGCGACUCACUGGCCCAAUACUGACGCUGAGGCGCGAAAGCGUGGGGAGCCAACAGGAUUAGAAACCCCUGUAGUCC
rnacentral:rRNA from 1 species